rnacentral:rRNA from 1 species
AGCGAACGUUAGCGGCGGGCCUAACACAUGCAAGUCGAGCGAAGAAAGUGGGCUUCGGCCAAUCAGUAAAGCGGCGGACGGGUGAGUAACACGUAGGUAAUCUUCCCUUGAGCGGGGGACAACGUUUCGAAAGGAACGCUAAUACCGCAUACGUUUCCAGGGACUCUGGUCUUUGGAAGGAAAGCUAGGUCGCAAGAUCCGGCACUCGAGGAGGAGCCUGCGUCGCAUCAGCAGUUGGUGGGGUAACGGCCUACCAAGGCGAAGACGCGUAGCUGGUCUGAGAGGAUGAUCAGCCACACUGGGACUGAGACACGGCCCAGACUCCUACGGGAGGCAGCAGUGGGGAAUAUUGGACAAUGGGCGCAAGCCUGACGCAGCGACGCCGCGUGAGGGACGAAGGCC